rnacentral:rRNA from 1 species
CUACGGGAGGCAGCAGUGGGGAAUAUUGGACAAUGGGGGAAACCCUGAUCCAGCAAUGCCGCGUGUGUGAAGAAGGCCUGCGGGUUGUAAAGCACUUUCGGUUGGGAGGACUGCUUCUAGCACUAAUAUUGUUGGAAGUUGACGUUACCUUCAGAAGAGGCACCGGCUAACUCCGUGCCAGCAGGCCGCGGUAAUACGGAGGGUGCAAGCGUUAAUCGGAAUUACUGGGCGUAAAGCGCGCGUAGGCGGCUAGAUCAGUCGGGUGUGAAAGCCCCGGGCUUAACCUGGGAACUGCAUCCGAUACUGUCUAGCUUGAGUACAGGAGAGGAGAGUGGAAUUCCACAUGUAGCGGUGAAAUGCGUAGAUAUGUGGAGGAACACCAAUGGCGGAGGCAGCUCUCUGGCCUGAUACUGACGCUGAGGUGCGAAAGCGUGGGGAGCAAACAGGAUUAGAUACCCUAGUAGUC